AUGCACGCUGGCGGCGUGCCUAAUACAUGCAAGUCGAGCGAACGGACGAGAAGCUUGCUUUUCUGAUGUUAGCGGCGGACGGGUGAGUAACACGUGGAUAACCUACCUAUAAGACUGGGAUAACUUCGGGAAACCGGAGCUAAUACCGGAUAAUAUUUUGAACCGCAUGGUUCAAAAGUGAAAGACGAUCUUGCUGUCACUUAUAGAUGGAUCCGCGCUGCAUUAGCUAGUUGGUAAGGUAACGGCUUACCAAGGCAACGAUGCAUAGCCGACCUGAGAGGGUGAUCGGCCACACUGGAACUGAGACACGGUCCAGACUCCUACGGGAGGCAGCAGUAGGGAAUCUUCCGCAAUGGGCGAAAGCCUGACGGAGCAACGCCGCGUGAGUGAUGAAGGUCUUCGGAUCGUAAAACUCUGUUAUUAGGGAAGAACAUAUGUGUAAGUAACUGUGCACAUCUUGACGGUACCUAAUCAGAAAGCCACGGCUAACUACGUG
rnacentral:rRNA from 1 species